UUCUUGUAAAGCAUUUGAGCAGGGCCUGGCACAUAAUAACCACUACACAAGUAGUUAAUAAAUAAGUAAACACCCAGGAGGAGAAGUCACUCAGGGAAGAGAGCUGGAUGGAGGGGAGAGCUGACAGUUACAGAUUGGGUGGCCAGGGCAAGGCUUCUUGAGAAAGUGACAUUGAAUAAAGACCUGAAGGGCAUGAACAACUGAGCCAUAUGAAUUAUUUCCAAGUAGAAGAAGCAGCACAUCAGAGGCCCUGAGACCAGACAGUGGCUGGCACGUGUGCAGACAGUGCAGACGCUGGUGUGCUGGACUGGAAUGAGAAGGGGAGAGUGGAGAGGGAGGUCAGAGCAGGAACAGGUGGUGAGCAGUCAGGGCACGGCCCGUGGCCUUUAUUUAUGAGCGAAGGGAGCCCUUGGAGGAUUUCCAGCACAAGAUGAACAGGAUCCUGGACCUGAGCAGGGGUAGGGGUGGAUGUCAGUGUCAGAUGAAGACUCUGCCUGAAGCUAUUGGCUGAGGAGUUGGAGAGCCUCAGGUCAGGGACCGUCGUGAUGGGUCAGGGGAAGAAACUGACCUCAGGCAAAAGCCUGAAGGAAAGGGACAGAUUUUAGAUAAAUCGAAAUUAAAGGAAUGGAAGGUCUCUGUAAGAAACUGGCUUUGGAGGAUGAAGGGGUGGUGGGGGUGGAUCAGGCACACUCCCUAGUUGCUGCUUUGAGCAGUGGGUGGGAUUGAGCACUAGGAGCGGGUGAGAGCUGCAGUUGAAGGAUUCCAUUUUGGAAGUGUCUCUUCUGGGCCCGGGCAGUGUUCUGAUGGGUGUAACAGUAGGUGCUUGAAGAUGUGUAUCUAUAACUCAGAAGAAAAGCACAGGGUGGAGAAAGAAAGUUCCAGGUGUCAGAUCAUUGAAGCAGUAACUGAAGUUGACCAGAAACAGAGCUUAGAGUAGAAGAGAUUGGAGCCAGGACAGAAGACCUGGGUAACAGAGUGGACAAGGUGUGUGUGAAUGCGGAGACGUGGAAGACCCUGAGAUGCAGCUGUUCAAGGGCUAAGAGGCAGACUAGGGGAAUGGCACCCUGAGCGGCCUGGUCAGGGGUAAAGCGCUGCCACGAGACCGAGAAAGAGCCCCACUAUCACACGUCCUCUGGAUCAGGCAGGUUGGAAGGAGGCCCUGGCCAUGGCUGCCUGUUCUCUCUGUGAGCCAGGUCUGGGCUGGAGGAGUGGAAGCAGCUGUGAAGGUGGCGAAGAGCUCCCUAGGAAACGGAGCCUCACGUGGUACCUUGUACAUGGAAAAAGACCUGGUAGACAUUUAUCAGAUGACUGCCUGUCUCCUACUCCCACCCCUAAUUUUCUGUAGCGUAAUGUAAAGUAGUUAAGACCUAUUUGGUGACUUGUAUUUUGGGAUCACUGACUGAUUCACUUUUAGGUAGAAAGCACUAACUAGUGCCAGACUAUUGUAUCUCUUUUGAUGUUGGCCUGAAACUAACUUCAAAAUGUGUUACUCACAGUAAACCCUGCUAAGAGUUUCAGUGCCGGAUCAUGGAUGUUCUUGGAUUUGAACACUCACUUGAUAAAGAACUUGGCUGUUUUCUUGGAUUGUGCCACCUUUGUGUGUCUCACUUCCCUAGCAGGAGGAACAGGAGGGCUCUAAUGCCAGGACUUCCGUAAUGGUGCAUGAGGACUGACUCCCAGUACCCUGCCUGACCUCUGACCCAUCAGCAUGGGGAGGUGAGUGAUGUGUUCAAAUUGUGCUACACUUCUGUUUAACCCCGUGGUUCUUCCAGGCCCCAUUGGGGCUCCUGUCACAGAAGGAAAGUGAUAAUGCCACAUGGGUCCUAUGGGGGUUCAUGUGGUUUAUUUACAGUAAGGGCAUGCAUGUUGGAAUCUGUGAGGAAUUGAAUUAAACACUGGACAACUGUCUGUAAGCCUCGGAGGUAGGAAGGAGUGAGCAGCUCCAAGGAGCGCCCAUGAGCCAGCAUGGAGACUAGGAGCUACAAAUAGAAAAUUCCAUCAGGUUAGCAGGAUACCUCCGCCUCUGUGAGAUAUUUUAAUCUGUGAGGCACUCUUUAAAGGGAAGAGUGGAGAAAAGAACUGUAAAACAAUAGACUUUAUCCUAAUAGCAGCAAGAAUUUUUUUAAGCCGAAUUCCUGACAUAAACUGAGAAGAAAAUUGUUUAUUUGCAAAAAUGAAUUCCCUCUGUGGAUCAGUGGCAGGAUCAGUGGCAUCUCUGGAGCCCUGGGACUUAGAUUUGAUCCCAAGCCUGGCACAGCGGGUUAAGGAUUGGGCAUUGCUGCAGCUGUGGCGUAGGUCACAACUGCAGCUGGGAUCUGAUCCCUGGCCUGGGAACUCCACAUGCCAUGGGGUGG
rnacentral:lncRNA from 1 species